CCAAUCCUGCGAGAGGAGAGAACCUUAUCCCCACGCCGCUGCCCUCCCGUGCCCAGCCGCAAGCCUCCAAUCCCCUCCCAUCCAUGUUCCUCUCCUCCGCAAGCCGCCGCCGCUCAGCCGCCGCUUGCGCCGCCACCUCGCUGCGCCGCCUCCUCCUUCGCAUCAGCGCAGUGGCCCUCCGCGUCCUCCUCCUCCCACGCCCAAUUUCUCCUCUUCCCGCAUCCUCUCCCAACCAUGGCGCUGUCGCCAUGGACCUCGUCGUUGCCACCAUAAUCCUCGGCACGGAAGGAGCGUGGGCAACCAGGUGUGUGCGCCGUCGCGCUGGAAGGAGACGCCGCUGCGCCGUCCUCGUCCCCCGGCGACCGGGGCGUCCAUCAGCACACAGAGGCACAUGGACAGAGGAGGAGGCCCGCGUCCUUGUCCCCGGGCGAUAGGCCCGCUGGGAUCCGUUCGUGACGUCGCUGUCGUCCUCAACCUUGGCGUGCCGAGCUCCAACGUCUCCAUCCAUGGCUCUUCUCCAUCAAGCACGCGCCGGAAGACCUCGUGACACCAGCCGGCGGUCGGCGCGGGGACAGCGGACGGACGGUGAAACGCUCUCCCGCCCGGCCAUGGCGGCAUCCGGCGACGAUGGGCGGCUGCUGGGCAGCUGAGGACCUCUCCAUUGCGGGCCCGGUGGCUGGCCAAGCUCCACCUCCUCCAUCCCUGCUCGACGACCUCGUCCUGAGCACAACGGAGCACAGGUCGCCGGGAUGGAUGUUGCAGCGGCUCAUCGUCUUUCUCCCGCCGCCAGCCCCGUCCCUCUGCCUCCCCCUUUGGUUAGAUUAACAGGAAGCACAUGCACUUGAUCUCAGGUCUCUCUUAGUUUACUCCUUAUGCCCUUAUUCCUGCAACUUUGUUUGAUUGGCAUGUUAUUACCUACAGAAUGUUUCAGAGAUUUCCCCUUUGGUUAGAUUAAAAGGAAGCACAUACACUUGAUCGCAGGUCUCUCUCAGUUUACUCCUUAUGCCCUUAUUCCUGCAACUUUAUUUGAUUGGUAUGUUAUUACCUAGAGAAUGUUUCAGAGAUUUCAGUGAUGUUUGCCUAAAUAGGAGCACUUGACUAUGGAUUUGGAUGGUGUGAUUAGUAAGAUUUAUAGAUCUAUUAGGUUAUAAUUAGGUCUGGUUAUACUAAUUUAGCAAAUUGUUUAGCUUAUAGAUGUAUGGAUUUGGAUGAUAGUGGAUGUAUGCUUGAUAGCUAACUGAUGGAUCCCCGCAGUUGUUUUAUUCGCAGGGCAUGCUUUGUGUCAUAUUUGUGUCGUGCAGAUAGAUGGGCAUGUAAAGACCAUUUGGAUGUUGGUCGUCCCUACAACACACCAGCAAGGUUGAGUUAAUCAAGGCAAGAGAAUGGUAGUUUUUUCAAGUGUUACCGUGUAUGCUCGCAUAAUUUUAUUCUACGCUUAUGAAUUGUCAUCUGCUCAACAUAUGACUCCCUAGGAGAGAUGCUCAGUUUUGUUAUCGGUAUUGGGUCUGUGGAAGAGGGUGUCCACGAGCAUGAUCAAGAAUUCAAGAUGUUCUUUAUAUCAACGAUAAUGGCCCCUAUAUAUUUCAUAAUUUCAGUAUGUCCCCUCCGUAUGUAUUUCUAUCACAUGAGCAGUUCAGUGGGGUUCCCCUACUCAGUAGGUGGCAAAGAAAGAUCAACUAUUCAUUGGAACCUAUUUCAAAAGCAUCUGCUUCAGCAGGACACUGUAUAUUUGGAGUUAGAGGAGGCAAACCAGAUCACGGAUGAGCAGUUCUAUUUGCCAAAGUCAGGGGCAGACACUUGCUAUGGUUGGUGUCUACUAAAGCCAGGGUUCGCACAUGGGCAGUUCUAUGUUGCCAUCUCAAGAGUGAUAUCUAGGAAAGGAUUGAAAGUACUUGCACAUGAAUCCGGGGUGCCAACCGUAGAAACAAGGAAUAUAGUAUAUAGAGAAGUCGUUGGUCAUCUCUAAGAUCAGGAUCAUAUGCGAGUAAUCAGCUCAAAAUUUCUACAGCUGCCGGUUCUGGUUUUUCAGUAUCUGAACUAAUAGGGGAUGGUUCACUUGCACACACAAUGUAUUUAGUCUAGAUGAAUGAGCCGUGUACUCAGUUCCCUAUUCCCUGUAAAUGUUGUAUGUCAAGGUAUCUCACCUCAUCCAGACAACAACCUUGAGCCAUACGUUGUAUUGGGAGUUGGAAGGAAUUGCAUAUGAGACUACAUACAUGUGCUGCCUAACUGGCGUGGAUUUCGCUGUUGUCAUGAUCCGGAUGUUGCCACCACUAACUGGACAUCUGGACAUCUGGCCGUGAGCAGAUUUGUUGUCUUCAAAUACGGCUAAAUUUAUUUACCUUGGUGCUAAAAUUCACAAUGGCCUUAUUAUUCAAUGAAAUACGACAAGGAGCAGAGGGGCGGGUUCAAUGCCCACUUCCAUUUAGUGAAACACAGUUAUACAAAAUGAACAUUGGCAUCAACUUCACGGGAUCGUGCGCCAAGGCGCACAUCUAAAUCUGUCUGUGAUUUGUCAAUCUAGCGGUAAGGUGGUGAUCAUCAUUGUCCAGUAAUGCAUUGUUCCAGUCCUGAGGGUCCUGGAGAGGGAGCUGGCUGUAACUAAGAAUACCAAGGAGGCCUUUUGAGCAUACUUCACCCAGCAGGACUACGUUGACAUCAUGAACGGAUGGACCUCGAAGCUGAAGAGGAGCUCUGUGGCAAGCAGAAAUGGGGGUUGUUCAGUCACUUUUCGAGACAGAUGCCAUGGGAUGGCUUGAGUUGGGGCCGAAUGUGCGCUAGAGGAUUCGGGGGAGGGUUUCCGGAAGGGUAGCCGGAUGCUUUCCUGAAGAACUUGGCCUUGGCCAGAGGUAGAAGAAGGAGAACACACUAGCUAUUUCUCCCUCAGAUCUUUCUAUUCCUUGAUCACAAGAGAUUACAGGUUACAAGAUCGCCUACAGCACACAACGUCCCCGUGCAAGGGUGUGCCCCUUCUCCUUAUAUAGGGGAGAGGGUGGCUUACAGGGGAAGAAACCCUAGGAAACCCUAAUGGCAUCUUUGAACAGACAAACUACUUUACAAAGCCACUUUGGCUACCGGUGACGCUGGCAUCUCUUUAAUCAGGGGCACCGACAUCACCCGGUACCUUUUACGUCACCUUCUGCUCUUGGCGUCAGGGCUUCGUUUAAAGCUGAAAUGCUCUGCUCAUCCUUGUCCUCUAGCUCUGGAGAGAAUCUUUGACCAGCCUUGCCGACGUGUUACAGUGUAGCCUGUACCGGUGCUCCGGUACCUUCUUAGCCGGUGCCGGUAUACCCCUCCUGGGAUACCGGCAUGAUUCACUUCGCAUAGAACCAACUAUUGUUAGCCGGAAUAACUUUUAAACCGGUAUCUUGAUAGCUCAAACCAUCCGGUUUGGCAUGCCUUUGGCAUACCGGGGGUCAUCCCCCCAACAUUAGUCCCCGAAGCUGGUAUAGUCCGGUGGAUCCUAUCCAACGGACCAUGCCAGGUUUCCUUACAUUCAUGAUACCGGUUUAAACCUUCCGGCAACCAGUUCAAACCUCCCGGCGUCUCUGCCGAUCUCACAUUUUGCAUAGUCCAGCGGAUUCUAUCCGAUGGACCAUGCCAGGCCCUCAUCCGGAGCGUACCGGAUUAAUCCUUCCGGUUUCCAUUUAAACUCAUCCGGCCCUUGCCAAAUCUGUCCGGUAUCUUUGUCAUUAAGACCUUCCUUGACGAAGUCGAGAAUU